rnacentral:rRNA from 1 species
GGGGGACCUUCGGGCCUCUUGCCAUCGGAUGUGCCCAGAUGGGAUUAGCUAGUAGGUGGGGUAACGGCUCACCUAGGCGACGAUCCCUAGCUGGUCUGAGAGGAUGACCAGCCACACUGGAACUGAGACACGGUCCAGACUCCUACGGGAGGCAGCAGUGGGGAAUAUUGCACAAUGGGCGCAAGCCUGAUGCAGCCAUGCCGCGUGUAUGAAGAAGGCCUUCGGGUUGUAAAGUACUUUCACCGGGGAGAAAGGGAUUGAAGGUAAUCCAUUUGGAAAGGGGCGAAAAGCCCCCACUUA